UACGGGGGGGGGCAAGCGUUGUUCGGAAUUACUGGGCGUAAAGGGCUCGUAGGCGGCCAACUAAGUCGGACGUGAAAUCCCUCGGCUUAACCGGGGAACUGCAUCUGAUACUGGAUGGCUUGAGUUCGGGAGAGGGAUGCGGAAUUCCAGGUGUAGCGGUGAAAUGCGUAGAUAUCUGGAGGAACACCGGUGGCGAAGGCGGCAUCCUGGACCGGCACUGACGCUGAGGAGCGAAAGCCAGGGGAGCAAAGCGGG
rnacentral:rRNA from 1 species